UCAGAACGAACGCUGGCGGCAGGCUUAACACAUGCAAGUCGAGCGCCCCGCAAGGGGAGCGGCAGACGGGUGAGUAACGCGUGGGAACGUACCCUUUGCUACGGAAUAGCUCCGGGAAACUGGAAUUAAUACCGUAUGUGCCCUUCGGGGGAAAGAUUUAUCGGCAAAGGAUCGGCCCGCGUUGGAUUAGCUAGUUGGUGGGGUAAAGGCCUACCAAGGCGACGAUCCAUAGCUGGUCUGAGAGGAUGAUCAGCCACAUUGGGACUGAGACACGGCCCAAACUCCUACGGGAGGCAGCAGUGGGGAAUAUUGGACAAUGGGCGCAAGCCUGAUCCAGCCAUGCCGCGUGAGUGAUGAAGGCCCUAGGGUUGUAAAGCUCUUUCACCGGAGAAGAUAAUGACGGUUCC
rnacentral:rRNA from 1 species